AGAAACAGAAUCAAUGAUCUUGAAAUAGAACUUCAAAGAACAUUUCAUUAUUACCAGGAAGAGAUUGUUUCUGUUCAGAAAGAAACCCACAAUAAUUGGUUGGCAGCUUGUAUUGCUGAAAGAAGCCUGAAUGACUUGAAGCAAGAAAAUAAAAGGAAAAUGUACCUGAUGGUCGAGGAAAACUGCCAGCUAGAUCAAAGGGCUGAUGUGUCACUUGUGGAUGAAGUCUGCAACUAUACAAAAAAAGAAAUCUUGAUCUAUAGAAAAAGAGUUGAAGAUCUUGAGCAAGAAAUGGAUAGAACCAUUCGUAAUUCCCAAAGAUUGAUACUUUCUUAUGACAAAGAAGCACAAAUCAAUUGGGUAAGUU